AAUUGCCUUGCUGCCCCUCUCUGCGUGCAGUUCUCCUGCAAAGGACAACUGCCCAGGCAGGGGAUGCGGUGGAGCAUGACGCAGAUUUAAGAAUGGGUCUGCUGUGAAUCAUGAGAAGAACAAGGUUAAGAAAAAAAAAAGGGUUGCAAAUAAACGUAACAAGUCUUGAUUAGACAGCGCAGUCUUCAAUGUCAGCAAGGCAAAGAAGCUGAUUGCUGACUUCAGGAGGAGGAACCAGAGGCCCAUGAGCCAGUCCUGAUCGAAGGAUCUGAAUUUAAAGGGGUCAGCAUCUCUUAAUUCCUCAGUGUGAUCAUUUCAGAGACCUGUCCUGGACCCAGCAUGUAUAUGUUGGAGAAUACAUGGUAGAGACUGGCAGCAUCUCAGAAUGGUAUGGAAAUACAAAUGGCUUUGAAUGGAAAAUCCUACAAAAAGUAAUGGACACGGCCCAGGCCAUCACAAAGCUGGGGGAUUCAGUGAUGGAAAUCCAGUUGCAUGCCAAGAAAAGACAGUUGGACUCCCACUUUGAAGAAUGUCAUUGUUUGAUACUUGUAAGAUGCUGAAGUUAUUUGUCAUUCAUCGGCCGAAAUCUGAAGUCCAUUUAGAUCUUCUGCUCACAGAUACAGACUACUUUGUUAUCUGAGGAAUAGAACAGAAUGGAACAUUAAGAAACUGUCCAUAAACAUUCGCACCUCUGAUCUUAUGAUGGGGAAGAAAACUUACCAGUGA